UUAGCGGCGGACGGGUGAGUAAUGCUUAGGAAUCUGCCUAUUAGUGGGGGACAACAUCUCGAAAGGGAUGCUAAUACCGCAUACGUCCUACGGGAGAAAGCAGGGGAUCACUUGUGACCUUGCGCUAAUAGAUGAGCCUAAGUCGGAUUAGCUAGUUGGUGGGGUAAAGGCCUACCAAGGCGACGAUCUGUAGCGGGUCUGAGAGGAUGAUCCGCCACACUGGGACUGAGACACGGCCCAGACUCCUACGGGAGGCAGCAGUGGGGAAUAUUGGACAAUGGGGGGAACCCUGAUCCAGCCAUGCCGCGUGUGUGAAGAAGGCCUUAUGGUUGUAAAGCACUUUAAGCGAGGAGGAGGCUCUUUUGGUUAAUACCCAAGAUGAGUGGACGUUACUCGCAGAAUAAGCACCGGCUAACUCUGUGCCAGCAGCCGCGGUAAUACAGAGGGUGCAAGCGUUAAUCGGAUUUACUGGGCGUAAAGCGCGCGUAGGCGGCCAAUUAAGUCAAAUGUGAAAUCCCCGAGCUUAACUUGGGAAUUGCAUUCGAUACUGGUUGGCUAGAGUGUGGGAGAGGAUGGUAGAAUUCCAGGUGUAGCGGUGAAAUGCGUAGAGAUCUGGAGGAAUACCGAUGGCGAAGGCAGCCAUCUGGCCUAACACUGACGCUGAGGUGCGAAAGCAUGGGGAGCAAACAGGAUUAGAUACCCUGGUAGUCCAUGCCGUAAACGAUGUCUACUAGCCGUUGGGGGCCUUUGAGGCUUUAGUGGCGCAGCUAACGCGAUAAGUAGACCGCCUGGGGGAGUACGGUCGCAAGACUAAAACUCAAAUGAAUUGACGGGGGCCCGCACAAGCGGUGGAGCAUGUGGUUUAAUUCGAUGCAACGCGAAGAACCUUACCUGGCCUUGACAUAGUAGAAACUUUCCAGAGAUGGAUUGGUGCCUUCGGGAAUCUACAUACAGGUGCUGCAUGGCUGUCGUCAGCUCGUGUCGUGAGAUGUUGGGUUAAGUCCCGCAACGAGCGCAACCCUUUUCCUUACUUGCCAGCAUUUCGGAUGGGAACUUUAAGGAUACUGCCAGUGACAAACUGGAGGAAGGCGGGGACGACGUCAAGUCAUCAUGGCCCUUACGGCCAGGGCUACACACGUGCUACAAUGGUCGGUACAAAGGGUUGCUACCUAGCGAUAGGAUGCUAAUCUCAAAAAGCCGAUCGUAGUCCGGAUUGGAGUCUGCAACUCGACUCCAUGAAGUCGGAAUCGCUAGUAAUC
rnacentral:rRNA from 1 species